GGCGGCAGGCCUCAAACAUGCAAGUCUAGGGGGUGUAGCAAUACAUCACCGGCGGACGGGUGCGUAACGCGUGGGAAUAUACCUUUCGGUACGGAACAACUGAGGGAAACUUCAGCUAAUACCGUAUACGUCCUAACGGAGAAAGAUUUAUCGCCAGUAAAUCAGCCCGCGUUCGAUUAGCUAGUUGGCGGGGUAACGGCCCACCAAGGCGACGAUCGAUAGCUGUUCUGAGAGGAAGAUCAGCCACACUGGGACUGAGACACGGCCCAGACUCCUACGGGAGGCAGCAGUUGGGAAUCUUGGACAAUGGGGGAAACCCCGAUCCAGCCAUGCCGCGUGAGUGAUGAAGGCCUUCGGGUUGUAAAGCUCUUUUACCCGGGAAGAUAAUGACUGUACCGGGAGAAUAAGCUCCGGCUAACUUCGUGCCAGCAGCCGCGGUAAUACGAAGGGGGCUAGCGUUGUUCGGAAUUACUGGGCGUAAAGCGUGCGCAGGCGGUCUUC
rnacentral:rRNA from 1 species